AUUGAACGCUGGCGGCAGGCCUAACACAUGCAAGUCGAGCGGAGCGGCGGACGGGUGAGUAAUGCCUAGGAAUCUGCCUGGUAGUGGGGGAUAACGUCCGGAAACGGGCGCUAAUACCGCAUACUAUCAGAUGAGCCUAGGUCGGAUUAGCUAGUUGGUGGGGUAAAGGCCUACCAAGGCGACGAUCCGUAACUGGUCUGAGAGGAUGAUCAGUCACACUGGAACUGAGACACGGUCCAGACUCCUACGGGAGGCAGCAGUGGGGAAUAUUGCGCAAUGGGGGCAACCCUGACGCAGCCAUGCCGCGUGAAUGAAGAAGGCCUUCGGGUUGUAAAGCACUUUUGGCAGGAAAGCGGUACCUGCAGAAUAAGCACCGGCUAACUACGUGCCAGCAGCCGCGGUAAUAC
rnacentral:rRNA from 1 species